rnacentral:tRNA from 1 species
UCCCUGGUGGCUCAGACGUUAAAGCAUCUGCCUGGAAUGCGGGACACCCGGGUUCGAUCCCUGGGUUGGGAA